rnacentral:rRNA from 1 species
UACGUAGGGGGCAAGCGUUGUCCGGAAUCAUUGGGCGUAAAGCGCGUGUAGGCGGCUUGAUAAGUCUGCUCUGAAAGCCCGGGGCUCAACCCUGGGAGGCGGGUGGAUACUGUCGAGCUCGAGUCCGGAAGAGGCGAGUGGAAUUCCUGGUGUAGCGGUGAAAUGCGCAGAUAUCAGGAGGAACACCAAUGGCGAAGGCAGCUCGCUGGGACGGUACUGACGCUGAGACGCGAAAGCGUGGGGAGCGAACAGG